CAUCGCGAGGUGGAAUCUGAAGGAAGCUGUAGGCAAACCCUUGGCCUGACGGACAGGAACCACAUAUAAGGCUGGGAAAUGCGGAUAAGUCGGCCGAAAACGAUGAAGUCCAAAAGGUUGCUGGAAGUACCAGUAAAUGUGGCAGGUAGAUGAGGGGAAAGAG
rnacentral:ncRNA from 1 species